CAAUAGCGUAUAUUAAAGUUGUUGCAGUUAAAAAGCUCGUAGUUGGAUUUCUGGUGGGAGCGAUCGGUCUGGCGCUUAGCGCGAGUACUUGCAUCGUCUCCGGCCAUCCUUGGGGAGAGUCUGUCUGGCAUUAGGUUGUCGGGCAGAGGAUCCUCAUCGUUUACUGUGAAAAAAUUAGAGUGUUCAAAGCAGGCUUAUGCCGUUGAAUAUAUUAGCAUGGAAUAAUAAGAUAGGACUUUGGUACUAUUUUGUUGGUUUGCGCACCAAAGUAAUGAUUAAUAGGGACAGUUGGGGGUAUUCGUAUUCCGUUGUCAGAGGUGAAAUUCUUGGAUUUACGGAAGACGAACUACUGCGAAAGCAUUUACCAAGGUUGUUUUCAUUAA
rnacentral:rRNA from 1 species